rnacentral:misc_RNA from 1 species
AUAACCACAUUAUCCGAGUCAAACUUACAUAUAAGAUGCAAAAUUGAACUAUUCAGCACACAGAUCUCGUUAAUCCAGACGAAACUAAAACUUCUCAAAAUUUCAUAAAUUAAUAAUCUAUAGAUACAAAAAAAAAGAACUCGUAAAUAGCGAAAAUCACCUGGUGUUUGAAUAUUCAUAGAGUUUUCCAGUACUGGAGAAGAUAAUAACUCCGGCCUCCGCAUCGCACAGAAUCGCUAGCUCCUUCGCCUUCUUCAACAAUCCAUUUCUCCUCUUCGAGAACGUCACUUGCCUGCUCGUCGAAUUAUCGAUCCUCCUUAUCACUAUCUUACCUCUCCCCAUCGCCGAU